CAGGACGAACGCUGGCGGCGUGCCUAACACAUGCAAGUCGAGCGAGGAGAUUCCUUCGGGAUGAUCCUAGCGGCGGACGGGUGAGUAACACGUGGGCAACCUGCCUCAUAGAGAGGAAUAGCCUUCCGAAAGGGAGAUUAAUACCUCAUAACAUUGCAGUUUCGCAUGAAACAGCAAUUAAAGGAGCAAUCCGCUAUGAGAUGGGCCCGCGGCGCAUUAGCUAGUUGGUGAGGUAACGGCUCACCAAGGCGACGAUGCGUAGCCGACCUGAGAGGGUGAUCGGCCACAUUGGGACUGAGACACGGCCCAGACUCCUACGGGAGGCAGCAGUGGGGAAUAUUGCACAAUGGGGAAACCCUGAUGCCAGCAACGCCGCGUGAGUGAUGACGGCCUUCGGGUUGUAAAGCUCUGUCUUCAGGGACGAUAAUGACGGUACCUGAGGAGGAAGCCACGGCUAACUACGUGCCAGCCGCCGC
rnacentral:rRNA from 1 species